UUCCUACGGGACGCAGCAGUGGGGAAUAUUGCACAAUGGGGGAAACCCUGACGCAGCGACGCCGCGUGAGUGAAGAAGUAUUUCGGUAUGUAAAGCUCUAUCAGCAGGGAAGAAAAUGACGGUACCUGACUAAGAAGCCCCGGCUAACUACGUGCCAGCAGCCGCGGUAAUACGUAGGGGGCAAGCGUUAUCCGGAUUUACUGGGUGUAAAGGGAGCGUAGGCGGCAAGGUAAGCCAGAAGUGAAAGCCCGCGGCUCAAC
rnacentral:rRNA from 1 species